GGCCAGAAUUUCGCUGCGCCUUCGACGGGCGUUACGAUCGGUCGGCCGAGCUCCGCCUCGGCCUUGA
rnacentral:sRNA from 1 species